rnacentral:rRNA from 1 species
UACAGAGGGUGCGAGCGUUAAUCGGAAUUACUGGGCGUAAAGGGCGCGUAGGCGGCACAGCAAGUCGGGAGUGAAAGCCCGGGGCUCAACCCCGGAAUGGCUUUCGAAACUGCUGAGCUAGAGUACAGAAGGGGCAACCGGAAUUCCCAGUGUAGCGGUGAAAUGCGUAGAUAUUGGGAAGAACACCUGAGGCGAAGGCGGGUUGCUGGGCUGAUACUGACGCUGAGGCGCGAAAGCCAGGGGAGCAAACGGG